rnacentral:rRNA from 1 species
UCACCGGAUAAGACAGCUGGAUGAUAGCCGGGCUGAAGACUCUGCUUGACUAGCUGAGAGGAGGUGCAUGGCCGUCGUCAGUCGUACUGUGAAGCAUCCUGUUAAGUCAGGCAACGAGCGAGACCCACGCCAACAGUUGCCAGCAUGUCCUCCGGGAUGAUGGGGACACUGUUGGGACCGCCUCUGCUAAAGAGGAGGAAGGAAUGGGCAACGGUAGGUCAGCAUGCCCCGAAUUAUCCGGGCUACACGCGGGCUACAAUGGUCAGGACAAUGGGUAUCGACACCGAGAGGUGGAGGCAAUCUCCUAAACCUGUCCUUAGUUCGGAUUGUGGGCUGCAACUCGCCCACAUGAAGCUGGAAUCCGUAGUAAUCGCGUUUCAAAAUAGCGCGGUGACUAUCGUCCUGCUCCUU